GACGAACGCUGGAGGCGUGCUUAACACAUGCAAGUCGAACGAUGAAAUGGAGCUUGCUCCAUGGAUUAGUGGCGAACGGGUGAGUAACACGUGAAUAACCUGCCCUUAAUUUUGGAAUAACCCAGGGAAACCUGGGCUAAUACCGGAUAAGUAAACCUGUGGCAUCACAUGGUUUUGGAAAGUUUUUCGAUUAAGGAUGGAUUCGCGGCCUAUCAGCUUGUUGGUGAGGCAAUGGCUCACCAAGGCGACGACGGGUAGCCGGCCUGAGAGGGUGAACGGCCACCCUGGGACUGAGACACGGCCCAGACUCCUACGGGAGGCAGCAGUGGGGAAUAUUGCGCAAUGGACGAAAGUCUGACGCAGCGACGCCUCGUGAGGGACGAAGGUCUUCGGAUUGUAAACCUCUUUCAGCAGGGACGAAGCGAAAGUGACGGUACCUGCAGAAGAAGCACCGGCUAACUAUGUGCCAGCAGCCGCGGUAA
rnacentral:rRNA from 1 species